UCUGUUCUCCACCAUGUGAGGACACAGUGAGAAGACAGUCAUCUGAAAACCAGGAAGUGGCCCUCACCGACACCAGAUCUGCUGGCACCUUGAUCUUGGUCUUCCCAGCCUCUGAGAACAGAAGAAAUAUGAGAAGUAACUUUCUGUUGCUUAAACCAUCUAGCCUGUGGCAUUGGACUCAGGUAGGCACGUUCCCCGAGCUUCAUAACAUUCCUUAUUUAUGUCUGGAUUAGUGAGGUCAGACUUCAGCAACCAGUGACUUGGGACAUCUCCUUAGCUUUGUCUGCAGCAUCCUCUUGCUCACUCAGUGUUUUUGCGGCUCUGUUCCAUGGAGACUCCACUUUGGAAUUGAGGCUGGAGGAGCCGCCUCUCCCUGGAACAUUGCUGGUCAUGGUAGAGAGGAAGGAUCUCCUGCGUGAAGGCCCUUAAAGCCCCACCUGGAAGGGACACAUAUCUCUGCUGCCACGUUUCAUUGGCCAAUGCGAGUCACAAAGCCUCUUCUGUUUGGCAGGGAAGAGAUGUGUGGUCCUCCCAGGGAGGGGAGGAACACUGCAGAAAAGGAAGCCGGAGUAUUUGGUGACCAUCCACACAGCUUGGUCAGGGAGUUCCUAUUGUUUUGAAGAUGAAAGUCAAAGCCGUAAGACCUACAAGGCUCCUGAUCAGGUCUCUGCUAAGCUCCCUAACUUGACCUCCCCCCCGUUGAUCACUGAUUCUUUGAACAUGCCAUGGGGCUACUCUGCCCGGGUCUGGACAUGUCGUCCCCUCCUGUCCUCUUUCCCAACUUAGUCCUGGCACUUGUUCACAUCGCAGGGUCUUUGUCAUGGGCUUGCGCUGAGUGGCCGAUCUCCUUCGUUGGGCUUGUCUGAGCUUUCUGUGGCCCCUGCAGUAGGGGGAUUCCACCACCCAUGGCUGCCUCCCUGUCCUGAUGGGCAGCGCACAAUGCUGCAGUAGAAGCUGGUCAAGUGAAAGAAAGAGAAGAGGCUGAAGUGCAGAACAACCCCUGGAGGAAUGGAGAAUAUUUGAGUAGAAGACAGUCCUGGCAGGGGACAGGGUAAGGGGCUGUGCGUAUGUGGAGGGCGUUCAUGGAAGCUGGGGCUGGAUUUAUUUUUCAUUCUUUCCCAGAGCAUCUUUAAAGCCAAAGUUUGAAAGUUAGAGGUGAUGAGUUAAUUUUGGGUCGCUGUAAUACUGAACUUCCUGACAGUGUGAGCAUGCAUAUUAGAAAUGUUCUGUUCUCUGUCCCUGCUCCAGCAGAGACCGAUGACAGAGAUGGGAAGUGUCAAUGGGCAUUUUGGAUAGCAGGGGUGGUGGAAGAGAGGCACGAGCUCGAUCCCUCAGACUUCAAAGUGGUGUGGUUCCACUACAAAACAGAGACACAAAUGAGGAGAUGAGAAAACACCGGGCAUCAAUUUCUAUAAAAUGGCACAGCCCCUGGGUGCCAUGCUGAUGUCCCUGUCUUGGCUUGUGAUUUGAGAACUGUUACAAG
rnacentral:lncRNA from 1 species